AAAAGAAACUAACAAGGAUUCCCUUAGUAGCGGCGAGCGAAGCGGGAUGAGCUCAAAUUUGAAAUCUGGCGUCUUUCAGGCGUCCGAGUUGUAAUCUAUAGAAGCGUUUUCUGUGCUGGACCAUGUCCAAGUCCCUUGGAACAGGGUAUCAAAGAGGGUGACAAUCCCGUACUUGACAUGACCACCAGUGCUCUGUGAUACGUUUUCGACGAGUCGAGUUGUUUGGGAAUGCAGCUCAAAAUGGGUGGUAAAUUCCAUCUAAAGCUAAAUAUUGGCGAGAGACCGAUAGCGAACAAGUACCGUGAGGGAAAGAUGAAAAGCACUUUGGAAAGAGAGUUAAACAGUACGUGAAAUUGUUGAAAGGGAAACGAUUGAAGUCAGUCGUGUCUAUUGGUUUCAGCCGGUUCUGCCGGUGUAUUACCCUUAGACGGGUCAACAUCAGUUUUGGACGGCACAUAAGAGCAGUUUGAAUGUAGCACCUCCGGGUGUGUUAUAGCUUUCUGUUGCAUAUGCUGUCCGAGACUGAGGACUGCAGCUCGCCUUUUAGGCCGGGGUUCGCCCACGUUCGAGCUUAGGAUGUUGACAUAAUGGCUUUAAA
rnacentral:rRNA from 1 species